UACAGAGGUCCCAAGCGUUGUUCGGAUUCACUGGGCGUAAAGGGUGCGUAGGUGGUGAGGUAAGUCGGAUGUGAAAGCUCGGAGCUCAACUCCGAAAUGGCAUUGGAAACUACCUUGCUCGAGGGUUGGAGGGGGGACUGGAAUACUUGGUGUAGCAGUGAAAUGCGUAGAUAUCAAGUGGAACACCAGUGGCGAAGGCGAGUCCCUGGACCAACUCCUGACACUGAGGCACGAAAGCUAGGGGAGCAAACAGG
rnacentral:rRNA from 1 species